UGGCAGGACUCUCUACAGUAAUACCGGGCGGCUUGGAUUUAUAAUCAGAGCAUUUCACCGCAGUGUGGCACUUCACAAAACCUACCAAACCACCGUCCCUCCUUCAAAAUGAUGGAAGAAGUAUUGGGAAAAUCCC
rnacentral:lncRNA from 1 species